GCAUGGGUUUGGAUUUAUGGCAAGCCCAUCCCCCUGGGUCUCUCACAGUGCUCAUGCCACAGCAAACUGGCCUUCAACCAUUACCUGGUCUCUGCUCGUAGGCUGCAGGCACUUAAGCAGGUUACGAAGUG